rnacentral:rRNA from 1 species
AGAGUUUGAUCAUGGCUCAGGAUAAACGCUGGCGGCGUGCCUAACACAUGCAAGUCGAACGCGCUUCGCAAGAAGCGAGUGGCGGACGGGUGAGUAACACGUGGGUAUCUACCUUUUGGUGAGGGAUACCGGCGAGAAAUCGCCGACAAUACCGCAUAAGCUCGGCAACGAGCAAAGCUCCUUUUCGGAGGGGCGCUAAAAGAUGAACCUGCGCCCGAUUAGCUAGCUGGUAGGGUAAUGGCCUACCAGGGCUACGAUCGGUAGCUGGUCUGAGAGGACGAUCAGCCACACUGGGAUUGAGAACGGCCCAGACUCCUACGGGAGGCAGCAGUGAGGAAUUUUCCGCAAUGGACGAAAGUCUGACGGAGCAACGCCGCGUGCAGGAUGACGGCCUUCGGGUUGUAAACUGCUUUUACCAGGGAAGAGAAUGGACGGUACCUGGUGAAUAAGCCCCGGCUAACUACGUGCCAGCAGCCGCGGUAAUACGUAGGGGGCGAGCGUUGUCCGGAAUUAUUGGGCGUAAAGCGCACGCAGGCGGUUCGCUAAGUUCGAAGUGACAAUCAACGGCUUAACCGGUGAACGAUUUCGAAAACUGGCGGACUGGAGAGCGAGAGAGGGACAUGGAACCCCGGGUGGAGCAGUGAAAUGCGUAGAGAUCCGGAAGACACCNAGGCGAAGGCAGUGUCCUGCUCGUAUCUGACGCUAAGGUGCAAAAGCUAGGGGAGCGAACGGGAUUAGAUACCCCCGUAGUCC